rnacentral:lncRNA from 1 species
UCCAACCGAGGUAAAAUAUAACGGGAUUCCGUACCCCUCUAAUAAGCUAGUCCACAGAAAACCCUGCCACUGCUGCAAGCUAAACCCACCAUAUAAUAAAAUUUUGACAACACGACAUGACUAAUAUUAUACUACCCAGCCUGUAAAUGUAAAAUAGAGCAAUUCAUACAGUUCACAAACCAUAAUUCCAGCCAGUCAUGCCAACACAUUAUCAUAAGCCAUCAAUUAGAAUCAUAAGUUACAACACAUCAAGUGGUCUCCAAUUACUCUAUUUUCAAAGCCAUCAUUCAAUUUCAAGACAAUUUAUAAAAUCAUUUCAUUUAAACACAUUUUGUUUAUAAAACAUAAAGAUUUACCAUUUAAACUCACUUUCCAUAAAAUCACAAAAUCGAAUAAAAACCACUUUAGAUAAUUAAGACGAUAGUAAGGUUACUCACUAUUUCGGGAGUCAAAUUCCAAGUACUCCGAUUAUUGAUCCUCGGGUACUAUCUCUUUACUUUUGUCAGAAUGCUCACCACCUAGACAUAAUGCACAAUAAGCCAUUUACUACAUUGUGCUAAAUUGUUAUAAAACCAAUUCAGGCUUUAUACUAAUGUAUGAAAUGGGAUGCAAAUUGUUUAGAUUAUUAUCUAAACACGGUGUUCUACACAAAUUCAAUUCUGUACCUAAAUUAAACGGUAUUGGCCUAAUUCGAUCUAUCACUUGAUUAAUUACCCAAUAUGUCCAAUUUAACUCCAAAUAAAUUCCAUUUUUCUCCCAAUACUCCAAAUCAUCAAACACAAGUCAAAUAGCAUAAAAUCUAGCAAAAUCAUUUUCACAUUUUCUCUUGGAAAAUUCGACCAUGGUGGGUGCAUCAACACUAUAAUUUUUCCUACUUGAUUCUCACACCAUAAAUCACUAAUUCCUAACCAAAUCACUUGAAAGAAAAUAAAAAUCAUCCUCAAUAUUCCACUUAGAGAAUUCGGCCAAUGAUGGGUGAUGGGAGAACAUGAAUUUUUCCUGCUUGAUUUUCAUGCUACACAUCACCAAUCAACUAAAAACGCUAAAAUACAUUGAAAUCUAAUUAAAUCAAGCAUCAAAACCUCUCUCCUAGGGUUUGAUCAGCGCACUAUCCUUCAUGAUAUCUUGUGAUUCAAUUAUGGAAAAUGCAAAAUAAUGCAUGGGAAAGGUAGAUCACAAGUCAAAAUCAAGAAAUUUUACCUUUGAUUGCUUGAUUACUUGAAAUCCACCAAUUUCCUCUUGAAUUUUCACCCUAGGGUUCUUGUUCUUCCUUUUUCUUCCUUUGUUCUUGUUUUGGCCGGC